UUGGUUGACUCUGCCACAAUUCCAAACGACGAACUAGUCGAUGUAAGAGCGCUAACUCCACUUUUGACAUUCUUUUGAUUGCUAUAACGGAAAAAUUAUGGUUGACACCUUUCACAUACCUUGCCGUUUGUGUAGGAGUGUUGGCUGCUGAUCCUUUCUUGCCCUCCAGCGCCAGCAAAUGCUGCUCGAGCGCAUCUAACAGCGAGCUCGGAGCUUUCGUAAGAUCUGGUAAAUCACCCUUAUCAAUACCAACGUUCUGCAAGAAAAAUACAGGUUUAUCAGCACGAUUUGCCUUGCCAUACACGUCGAAAAAUAUCUUCACUUACCUCAGCCACCUUGAGAAACUCUCCCACCCGAUCCAUACGAGUAAGAAACUUUUUGUACAGAUCCAGCGCAUCACGACAUUGCUUCUUAUUCAUGUCAAAAUAUUUUUCCAAUAGAUUUAUGAUACCAUCGUUGUAACAAGCGAACAGCCGUAUCAAAUCGCGGAAUAGUAACAUGAAGCACAUGUUAAUGACACCUAUUAGCCAGAUUCAGCAUAGUGUAGAAUAAACGAGAGAUAAUUUGUUA